CCUACGGGUGGCAGCAGUCGAGAAUCAUUCACAAUGGGGGAAAGCCUGAUGGUGCGAUGCCGCGUGGGGGAAUGAAGGUCUUCGGAUUGUAAACCCCUGUCAUGUGGGAGCAAAUUAAAUAGAUAGUACCACAUGAGGAAGAGACGGCUAACUCUGUCCCAGCAGUCGCGGUAAUACAGAGGUCGCAAGCGUUGUUCGGAAUCACUGGGCGUAAAGCGUGCGGAGGCUGUUUGGUAAGUCGGGUGUGAAAGGCGCGGGCUCAACCCGCGGAGAGCAGAUGAUACUGCGAGACUAGAGUAAGGGAGGGGGAAGCGGAAUUCUCGGUGUAGCAGUGAAAUGCGUAGAUAUCGAGAAGAACACUCGUGGCGAAGGCGGGUUCCUGGACAUUAACUGACGCUGAGGCACGAAGGCCAGGGGAGCGAAAGGGAUUAGAUACCCCAGUAGUC
rnacentral:rRNA from 1 species